UUCGGGAACUCUGAGACAGGUGCUGCAUGGCUGUCGUCAGCUCGUGUUGUGAAAUGUUGGGUUAAGUCCCGCAACGAGCGCAACCCUUAAGUCAUCAUGGCCCUUACGAGUAGGGCUACACACGUGCUACAAUGGCGCAUACAGAGGGCGGCCAACUUGCGAAAGUGAGCGAAUCCCAAAAAGUGCGUCGUAGUCCGGAUUGGAGUCUGCAACUCGACUCCAUGAAGUCGGAAUCGCUAGUAAUCGUGGAUCAGAAUGCCACGGUGAAUACGUUCCCGGGCCUUGUACACACCGCCCGUCACACCAUGGGAGUGGGCUGCAAAAGAAGUAGGUAGUUUAACCUUCGGGGGGACGCUUACCACUUUGUGGUUCAUGACUGGGGUGAAGUCGUAACAAGGUAGCGCUAGGGGAACCUGGCGCUGGAUCACCUCCUUAAACGAUGAU
rnacentral:rRNA from 1 species